UACAGAGGGUGCGAGCGUUAAUCGGAAUUACUGGGCGUAAAGCGCACGUAAGCGGCUUGGUAUGUCGGGUGUGAAAUCCCCGGGCUCAACCUGGGAACUGCAUCCGAAACUGCCUUGCUAGAGUAUGGGAGAGGGAAGUGGAAUUUCCGGUGUAGCGGUGAAAUGCGUAGAUAUCGGAAGGAACAUCAGUGGCGAAGGCGACUUCCUGGACCAAUACUGACGCUCAGGUGCGAAAGCGUGGGGAGCAAACAGG
rnacentral:rRNA from 1 species